GUGCUCGCUUCAACAGCACAUAUACUAAAAUUGGAACGAUACAGAGAAGAUUAGCAUGGCCCUUGUGCAAUGAUUUACUAAUAAUGAGGUAACUGAGCUAAGGAU